CAGGCGAGUCAAUUAUGUAAAAAUACGGUUCGUAAAUUAAAUUUGUGCUGCCACGUUGGCAACAUUGUAACUGCAAUUAAUUAACGGAUAUCUGUAACUAGAGAAUCGGAGUAUUCGCUGCGAACUAGUUGUAUUCGUCACCUGAAUUGCGUUCAGAAAGGACGCCUGUAAGUGGUUCACAACUACACUAAUAAGAGGAAAUAAGCCGUAGGUACAACCGUCUGACGGAAAAUAAAUUGAAGAUCUUUCUCACAAGCGACGGUUGACUCGAGUUUUAAGAGAUGUACUGCACGCGGUGUCCUGAAAUUUUCGGCAACGGCACGCAGCGAGGAAGUGGGAUCGAUACGGAAUUCGUGAAAUGGUUACCAUGGUGAUAACGCCUCCGUACCCGACUUUCCAGAUGGCUCCGCUGAGAACAGAGCUGCGAAGUCCACUUAAUAAUUCCUUUUUCGAAUCCUCGAGGGAUUCUAUUACUCGUAAGCGGUUUAUGUUAAAAAUAUUUAUUAGUUUUCAAUGUUCGUGCAUUCUUUUUUGUCUACAUAUUGUGAUUCAUAUAUUAAAUAUUAUAUUAUAUACAUAUAAGUAAUAUAAUUGUCAUUUUCUGUUGGUACUUUGAGAAAUAACAAUACUAAAGAACAUCGUACCAAUUAUUUUCAUGUGUAUUGUCAAUUGAAUCAUUUUUCCAAUUUGUUUUAUCAGUUCUCGCAUGCUCUCUUAAUUCAAUAUUUGUACACAACGAGAGAAAUAUUUUGUGUUUUACAUUGGAAAACAGUUCAUGUACGCAUAUGUACUUAUGAUAAGUAGAAGUCAAAUGUAAGGCAAAAAUAUCUUUAUAUCCUAUUCCUUAGUAGUUAUAUUCCGUUGAAAUAGAGAUUAUGCGAUAGGUUAGGAUUACACAACGCUUGGGUACGCCGCGACAGUUAAAAUAUGCCGCCCUACGUACCCGAGACUGCUUUCUUUUUGGCAAAGCAUGUUUACAUUUUCUCUUAUAGAAUAAUGUUAUUACCACAAACUUUCGGUCAUAUUAUACUUGUUUCGACCAGCGAAUUCUACACACUAUUGAGCGUUGCUCAACUUAAUGAUUGUAUAGAUGGAAAUCUACGAAGACUUAAGAAGUUCUUACAUUCCUGUUUUUGGAUAUAAUCUCCCUCUAAAGAGUGAUAAUUACUAUCACGUUAAGACCGGAAAAUGUGGAUGCUCAAGGAUAUUAAAGCGGUCAUGGCCUCAAACGCAACCUCCGAUCGAUAAGCAAGGGCGUUAUCAUGAAGAAAUAGCACACACUUUCUUACGUAUUUUUUUGAGUAAACCUGCAUUACAGGGACCAGUAUUCGUCUGCCCUUUCGGGGUAAAAACAUUAUAAAGAAAUUCUUAAUUAUAUUAAAAUACAGAGGCCAUUUUUUUACCGUCAGUAGCAGUGGCCCGAAAUUUCGUUGAAGGACGGAGAAAAGGGAAGUCUUCAAGUGCUUUGUCUUAGUCUGAGGAUCGAAAUAGUGAACUCAGGUAUUAUCCAUGGUUACUGCACGCCAAGAAUCAACCGGAUCACUUUGUAAUUUACAAUUCCAGGUAACGCUUUAAAACACCCAAAUGUUGCUUCUUGUUUUCUUCAGUUAACAUUCAUGGUACGAAAUCUCUAAAAGACAAACAUUUUGAAACAAAAAAGCUCAGUUAAAUUGGACUCAAUGCUUUCCUAUCAAAUAUUUAAUAUCACGACCAGUUGUUAUAUAGAUUUCUUUUGCCCGCCAAAACCAAAUUUUAAUUUUGUUUUAUAUUUUAUUCUGUAACGGAGGUUCGAGGCCGACCAGAGCUAGUCAUCUGUCCGCCCCCGUGACCAUGAAGGCUGCAAAGUCUUCGAAAUGUCGGAAGAAAAUAAUAAUAUAAAAAAUCGCGAUAAUUGUUAACACAAUCAAGUGAAACUAUGCACAAAUAUUGUGUGAUUGUCGCUCUUUAAAAUAAAUAUUGAAACAUCUCCAAACAAGUAUUUUCAAUGUGCACAUCUAAGAAAUUUUGUUUCACCCUAGUAUAACAUAAUGCAAUAUCCGCCGCAUCCCUCUGAUGAAUUGUAAUUAAGAUUCCGUGCUGUCCCGUCCCUUCGAAAGCCUCGAGCAAAGUUUUAAUCAAAUUUUAAACUCUAUUUUGCCUGUAUACUAAACCUCAUCCAUACACAUUCAUAACUGUAAAUAAUAAAACAAAGAACUAAGAGACGAGAUCACUGU